rnacentral:piRNA from 1 species
UCNGUACAGGUACCAUGACUACCACCUCCUU